rnacentral:lncRNA from 1 species
UCAAGCCUGGAGCCGUCUUCUUGUUGUCUCUUGGUGGACCGAUUGUCCUGUGGUCUGUCCUCGGACCCAUCAUUAUCUUCUUCGUCUUCAUUGGGAUAAUCAAUUUCAUCCAAAACAAGAAGCCAAGUCUGCUGCCAAAAAUUCUUCAGAAUUGGGAAUUUUUACCGAAACCUCUUCGGUCUCUGGAGCCUUAUGAUAAAGUCCUCACAGGACUCCCGUGCUGCAAGUGCUGCAAGUCCUGCCAGUCCCCGCCUCCUGCAGACGUCGAGUCCGUCUCCACCAGAAGCAAUAGCGUCUCACUUGCGUCCGAAAAAGGUGUUGACAACUUGGCUUUCCGCUCGUAAUAACUGAAUCAAAUUAAAUUAAAAAUAAUUAACUUCGCCUGAAACGGUUGCUAAAUAGUUGGCCUGAAACGGAACUUUAAUUAUGAAUGGUGAUUACUCGGUCAGUGGCGGAUAGCUGAAGUGUCAAAUUGAUGUGAUUACCUCUUAAAACCCACGAUGAAAAUUUUUUCAUCAAGUGAGGCCAAAGGUGAUUCUGCUCUUGGUUAAUGCAACAAAAAUCAAAGUGAUCAUGAUAAGUACGAGGAAGGAUCAAACAACGAGAAUGAUCACACACAGAUAAUGAAUCAACUUGUAUAGAACAAGAAUUAUGACCGCUAUUUCUAACAAUGCGACACUCUGGAGUACUGUUACAUUCUACUGGACACCAGGGUUGUUGAUGUUAUUAUAUGAUUUUAUAAUAACUAUUUCACCAUACUAAUUUUUGGUGACUUCAAUCUUCAUCCAUUACAAUUCUUCACUGCACAUUAAUCGAUGCUGCUCUCAUUCUGUCCGCGAAUAAUAUAUGAUCUCAAUUUAAAGAGGCGGUCAGAUGGGGCUCAUAACGAUAGUUCUAGAAGAACAUAAGUCUCAUUACGAAUAAAUGACCUAAAAGAACGGUUGUUCAUACUGAAACACAGGUUUUUACUUAAGAAUACAAACAGUUUUACGAAAACUGAUGUAAAAAUAAUUUUUUCAUUAUUUAUGCGCUUUCAGAACUGUUUGGUCAUGACAUCAUGGUUUUAAAGUCAGCCUAAAAUCAUUCAAGACUUAACGCUCCUUAAUGGGUGCAAGUGCAUGCAUUCUUAGGACACCCAACUAGUCAGUAUUAUUUUAAUUCUAGAAAAGAUGCGUAUGCCUGCAUCCUAUUUUGUCGUUUUUUGUCUUUACCUUAAAGCGCAAACAUAAAUUAUGUACGUGCUUGUUUGCUUGCCAUUUCCAUAUAAAGCACGCAGUGAUUAAAACAUUAUACAUGAGCUUGAAUCGGACGUAUUUUGUAACCGUCAACCGCAAUAAGAGAUCUAUUAGAAUUAAGUAAAUAUAUUUUUCUGUAACGGUUGGAGAUUCAAAUGAUUGAUCGAACGCAGGCCCGGAUUUAUAAUAACAUCAUAUCAAUAUUUUUGUAAUUAGCAUGGGCGAUCAACGCUAACUAUUGUACCGUUAAGUAUUGUCAGUAACAAAUUGGUACUAGCCUACGAAUAUGUAUAAGUAAUGUGACAGCAACGUUGUGAACAACAGAAAGUGUAUUAAAUUUUGGUCUGCUGUUGAAAAAAAUUAAAAAAUUGUUUCCGGGUAAAAAUCUUUGUUUCUGUUGCUGACACGAUCAUGUUCACCAUUUUUAGGUAAUCACUAGAUAAACAUUUAUUAUAUUGACCAAGAUAUGAAGUUCUGUUCUGAUGUUGUUAUUGCAGGAACAAUAAUAUUCUAAUAAUGUAAUGUGGCACUACAAACGAAAAAUGUCUUUAAGGCUCAAAAUUAAUCAAUGUUUGCGAUUUCCGCGACUGAUUCUUUCGUAUAUUUGUGUACAUAUAUUUUAUUGAAGUUAUACGAGGAGCCAUAAUUAUUGCCUGUAUAUAACCGUAGAUUACUUAGCUUAUAAGUGCAUUGUUUGCUUCUAGCGAAAACUAUUUAUGUACGUCCCAUUUAAUCUCUGUAAUCAGAGUUGCGGUCGAUGUUUCAAAGUAUAAAAAAAUCAAAGCUCAUUGAUGCAUAUUUGCCGAAUAUUUAGGAGGAUUUAUCCACCUAAAAAAUCUAUGGCAUUGUAAAUUUUGUUGUCUGAAAUAUUUUCAAUAACUACGCAACGUUGAAGAAAAUAUGGAUUGUGAACUUAUAGCGACAAUAGUUCUCAUUGCGCUGCUGAAAUUUCGUGACCAAUAAGAAGCUAAUGAUUUC